UUGGAGGGCAAGUCUGGUGCCAGCAGCCGCGGUAAUUCCAGCUCCAAUAGCGUAUAUUAAAGUUGUUGUGGUUAAAAAGCUCGUAGUUGAACCUUGGGCCUGGCUGGCCGGUCCGCCUCACCGCGUGUACUGGUCCGGCCGGGCCUUUCCCUCUGUGGAACCCCAUGCCCUUCACUGGGCGUGGCGGGGAAGCAGGACUUUUACUUUGAAAAAAUUAGAGUGCUCCAGGCAGGCCUAUGCUCGAAUAUAUUAGCAUGGAAUAAUAGAAUAGGACGUGCGGUUCUAUUCUGUUGGUUUCUAGGACCGCCGUAAUGAUUAAUAGGGACAGUCGGGGGCAUCAGUAUUCAAUUGUCAGAGGUGAAAUUCUUGGAUUUAUUGAAGACUAACUACUGCGAAAGCAUUUGCCAAGGAUGUUUUCAUUAAUCAGGAACGAAAGUUAGGGGAUCGAAGACGAUCAGAUACCGUCGUAGUCUUAACCAUAAACUAUGCCGACUAGGGAUCGGACGGUGUUAUUUUUUGACCCGUUCGGCACCUUACGGGAAAC
rnacentral:rRNA from 1 species